GUUGGCCACACUUCUUCAAACAUUUUGAUGCGUCAUAAGUUCCUCUAUAGUCACACGGCUCUGAGCAUCCACUUGACGGUGAAAGAUAUUGAGACCAAUACCGCCCUAUGCUCAGACCGUUCACCCAUGCUUGGCCUUUCCCCAUCCCGGAAAGAUUUAGUGAUACAGGGCCGUUCCCUUCUGGAGCAAGGAACGCCGUCUGAUAAUACCAGAUGCCAUUUUUGGGCAAGUGAAAUCUCAAGAAGAUUUUGGUUGGAAGGUGGAAUCAACAAGGACAGAGAAAAUAUUAACGCGCAAAUGUAAGAACGCACAUCAUGCAUGAUGAUUUACCAGUGGUUUGGGCUUGUUUCCAGUUUCAAUUUGAGGUAGGUAUUUAUUAUGUUACACACAUAAUAAUUUGUCAAUUUGAUAAACCAAGUUAUAACCGAC